UCCUACGGGACGCAGCAGUGAGGAAUAUUGGUCAGUGGGCGCGAGCCUGAACCAGCCAAGUCGCGUGAGGGAGGACGGCCCUACGGGUUGUAAACCUCUUUUGCCGGGGAGCAACGGGCGUCACGUGUGGCGCCACUGAGAGUACCCGGAGAAAAAGCAUCGGCUAACUCCGUGCCAGCAGCCGCGGUAAUACGUAGGGGGCAAGCGUUAUCCGGAUUUACUGGGUGUAAAGGGAGCGUGGACGGCAGUGCAAGUCUGGAGUGAAAGGCGGGGGCUCAACCCCCGGACUGCUCU
rnacentral:rRNA from 1 species